GGAGGGUUGGCUGAGUUGGUUUAAGGCACCCGAUUGAUACUCGGACGUGCGCCUCGCGGCGUACCGCGGGUUCGAACCCCGCACCCUAUU
rnacentral:tRNA from 1 species